GAUAGGCCAUCCGAAUCAGAGCGUUUAGAUAGGCCAUCCGAAUCAGAGCGUUUAGAUAGGCCAUCCGAAUCAGAGCGUUUAGAUAGGCCAUCCGAAUCAGAGCGUUUAGAUAGGCCAUCCGAAUCAGAGCGUUUAAAUGCGCCACCCACAGCAGAGCGUUUAAAUGCGCCACCCACAGCAGAGCGUUUAAAUGCGCCACCCACAGCAGAGCGUUUAAAUGUGCCACCCACAGCAGAGCGUUUAAAUGCACUAGCCGAACCAAACCAAUUGGACGAUAUAACGAACAAAAUAAAAGAAAUACCCAUACCGAUUCAAGUAAGCAUAACAUCAUCUAAAUUUGUGACAAUUGAUAUAUUUAUAAACACAAGUAGAAUUAAUGAAGAACUAAAAAUAUAUAUUCCUUUGUUAAGCUAUUUAUUAUUCGAAACUGACAUUAAUGUAAAUGAUAAUAAUUUGAAAUGUGAAUUAUUUAUAGAAGAAUUAAUUAAAAAUACGAUUUCAUAUGACUGUUCGUAUGGAUUAGGUUGUGAUGUAGAAAAUUUUAAAUCAGAUGGAAUGAACAAUAUUUUAAUAGUUGAAUUAAGUGGACUAUUAAAAAAGUAUGACACUUUAUUUGAUUUGAUAUUUUUAUCGAUAUUUAAUAUGAAUUUAACUAUGGAACGAGUUAAACUAAUUAUGAAAUCAAAAUAUCAGAAUUUAAUACAAAAUAAAAAUGAUCCAAAAACUUUGAUACGAAAUGUAGAAUAUGUGUUAAGAUAUGCUGCAGAUAGUAACACCAAUUUAGCAUCAAUUGGACAACAAGAAUUAAUAUUAGAACAAAUACGUAAUAAAAAAAAAAUCAAAACAGUCUUUGAAAAAUUAAAUAUACUAAAAAAUCAGUUAUUCUGUUUGGAAAAUAUGGCUAUAACUAUUGAAGGUGAUUUAACAAAAAUAAAUAAUAUUUUUAGUUGGUUUGGUAGAUGGUUUGAAUAUACUGAUAAGAAUAAACAUAUGGUGAAAAAUGUUUAUAUAAAUAUAUUUGACUCGUUACAAAAUAAUGAUUGUAUAAAUAAUUAUUUAUUUGAAAUGGACAACAAUAAUACUACAAGUACAUCCACUAAUGAAUCUUCAGUGCCCACCCAUGAAUCUUCAAUACCAACCCAUGAAUCUUCAAUACCAACCCAUGAAUCUUCAAUACCAACCCAUGAAUCUUCAAUACCAACCCAUGAAUCUUCAAUACAUAUGGAAAAAGAAUAUAGUGUACCUACUUUGAAUAUUGAACAUUAUAAGGAUUCCCACUUAACUAACACUUUUAAACAACAUAUUUUAUUAGGAGAAGCUAUACAUGGUAAUCUAAAAGAGUAUCUACAUGCAUAUUAUGAAAAUGAGAUUAAAGAUUUUAAAUUAAACAUAAUUAAUUCAAAUGUAUAUAAUAGUAUCAUAUGUGGAACGAAAACUACAGACGUGUCUUAUCUGAAACUUACUGUAAAAGCAUGUGAUAGUUAUACUCAUGAUGAUUUUUGUGCUCUGUUUAUUUUAAAAGAAUUUUUUUCCAUGACAGAGGGACCAUUAUAUAGUAGUAUACGUAAAGGAGGUUAUGCUUAUUCAUGUGGUUUAGACUUUAAUCCUAUUUUAGGAGAAUUAACUUUAUAUAUAUAUAAAUCUAGUGAUAUUACUUCUGCUUUUAAAGAAGCACUUAAAGUGUUAUCAACAUAUUGUGAC
rnacentral:lncRNA from 1 species